rnacentral:rRNA from 1 species
UAUCAGCCUUUUGGGCUGAUUCUGUGGAGCGUGAGGAGUUAAACGCCUUCAUGCCUGCAUAUUCGUGUACUUUGGGUGUACUUGCCUGUGUGGUUAGUUAACAUCAAUUUUGGUUAUCAUAAAAUGGCUGGAGGAAUGUAGCUUCGAUUUCGAUUGAAGUGUUAUAGCCUUCGGCAGAUGUGAUGAUCGGGAUUGAGGAUUGCAACGGAUACCCUUCGGGGCUACCUGUCUGGUCUCUGAUCGUUGCUUUGGUGCCGAAAGCGUGCUUACGGUUAUCAAAGUCGAUGGUCAAUAGGUUAGAACGGGUUAAAUUCGUUAAGGAUGUUGACGUA